rnacentral:ncRNA from 2 species
UUUGCUACUACCACCAAGAUCUGC